rnacentral:rRNA from 1 species
CUGGCGGCGUGCUUAACACAUGCAAGUCGAACGAUGAUCCCAGCUUGCUGGGGGAUUAGUGGCGAACGGGUGAGUAACACGUGAGUAACCUGCCCUUGACUCUGGGAUAAGCCUGGGAAACUGGGUCUAAUACCGGAUACGACCAUUCCACGCAUGUGGUGGUGGUGGAAAGCUUUUGUGGUUUUGGAUGGACUCGCGGCCUAUCAGCUUGUUGGUGGGGUAAUGGCCUACCAAGGCGACGACGGGUAGCCGGCCUGAGAGGGUGACCGGCCACACUGGGACUGAGACACGGCCCAGACUCCUACGGGAGGCAGCAGUGGGGAAUAUUGCACAAUGGGCGCAAGCCUGAUGCAGCGACGCCGCGUGAGGGAUGACGGCCUUCGGGUUGUAAACCUCUUUCAGUAGGGAAGAAGCGAAAGUGACGGUACCUGCAGAAGAAGCGCCGGCUAACUACGUGCCAGCAGCCGCGGUAAUACGUAGGGCGCAAGCGUUAUCCGGAAUUAUUGGGCGUAAAGAGCUCGUAGGCGGUUUGUCGCGUCUGCUGUGAAAGACCGGGGCUCAACUCCGGUUCUGCAGUGGGUACGGGCAGACUAGAGUGCAGUAGGGGAGACUGGAAUUCCUGGUGUAGCGGUGAAAUGCGCAGAUAUCAGGAGGAACACCGAUGGCGAAGGCAGGUCUCUGGGCUGUAACUGACGCUGAGGAGCGAAAGCAUGGGGAGCGAACAGGAUUAGAUACCCUGGUAGUCCAUGCCGUAAACGUUGGGCACUAGGUGUGGGGGACAUUCCACGUUUUCCGCGCCGUAGCUAACGCAUUAAGUGCCCCGCCUGGGGAGUACGGCCGCAAGGCUAAAACUCAAAGGAAUUGACGGGGGCCCGCACAAGCGGCGGAGCAUGCGGAUUAAUUCGAUGCAACGCGAAGAACCUUACCAAGGCUUGACAUGA